rnacentral:rRNA from 1 species
AAGAAAGGAGAGAAGGGCACAUGAAGGAUGCCUGGGCUCUCGGAGGCGACGAAGGACGUGAUAAGCUGCGAAAAGCUGCGGGUAGGAGCAAAUAUCCCUUGAUCCGCAGAUGUCCGAAUGGGGCAACCCACCGGCUUCCGGCCGGUACCUCCCAUAUAGGAGGGGCGAACCCGGGGAACUGAAACAUCUCAGUACCCGGAGGAAGAGAAAAUAAACCAAUGAUUGCGCAAGUAGUGGCGAGCGAACGCGCAAGAGCCCAAACCGGCCGCGUUUCGGCGCGGACCGGGGUUGUAGGACCGUCGACGAAUGGACAGCGGCGCAGGUUAGCCGAACCUUCUGGAAAGGAGGGCCGCAGCGGGUGACAGCCCCGUAGGCGAAAACGGAGGCCUGACAGAGACGGCACCUGAGUAAGCCGGGACACGAGGAAUCCUGGCCGAAUCCGCGGGGACCAUCCCGUAAGGCUAAAUACUACCGAGAGACCGAUAGCGAACCAGUACCGUGAGGGAAAGGUGAAAAGAACCUCGAACAGAGGAGUGAAACAGACCCUGAAAUCAUGUGCCUACAAGCGGUCGGAGCUGUUUAGUGCAGUGACGGCGUGCCUUUUGCAUAAUGAACCUACGAGUUGCCGGCGGCGGCGAGGCUAAGGGCUUCAGGCCCGGAGCCGAAGCGAAAGCGAGUCUGAACAAGGCGUCGUUAGUCACCGUCGGCAGACGCGAAACCAAGU